CUGCAGCCCGAGGGGUGAUCGAUUUUAUUGAGCCUAAAGCGUCCGUAGCCGGACUAGUAAACCCUUGGGUAAAUUGGGCAGCUUAACUGUCCAAAUUCCGAGGGGACUGCUAGUCUUGGGACCGGGAGAGGUCAGAGGUACUCAAGGGGUAGGGGCUAAAUCCUGUAAUCCUUUGGGGACCACCAGUGGCGAAGGCGUCUGACUAGAACGGAUCCGACGGUAAGGGACGAAACCCUGGGGCGCGAACCGGAUUAGAUACCCGAGUAGUCC
rnacentral:rRNA from 1 species